AAAUUGCCAGAUAAUUUGAAGGAAGGUAUAUAUAGGUGUGUUUAAAUUUCGACUGACCUCACUUGGCAAGAAGAAAGUAUAGCAGAAAUUGGAAGAAAGACAGGAGCAAAGCAUGUAAGUAUAUUUAUUAGUAUUGGACUACUUUACAAAGCAUUACUUACGUCUGUUGGGUGAGUAUUGACUAUUUUUAUUGACUACCUUUAUUGAGUAUAUGGACUACUUUUUAGGAAUGCAGCAACAGCCCUGCUUUAAGCCUGGUUCACAUAUGCCUGCAGCAUGCCUGCGCUGUGUCAUUAUGCCUCUAGUUACCGCUGAAAUACCGGCAAAGUUGAACUCAAGUCAACUUUCCCGGCCUACCGCCGAUGUAACUGUGGCACUGGAGGCAAUCGGCGAACAAAUAUUCACAUAAUUUACGUUUUAAGCUACCACCGGCAUCGUCGCCGGUACGUCGCAGGCACGUCGCAGGCACGUCGCAGGCAUUAUGUAAACCAGGCUUUACACACUUUGCGCAAAAGCGCUUGUACCAAGAAACCUACACACAAUGUAACAUGCUGUUAGUUCUCCCAAAUAUUAACCAAAGGUCAGUUCAGCACAACCUUGGUAUCGUAAUUCUUACGCUGAAAUUCAUUACCGCGAAUUACCGCGAAACCGAUAUCGCUGAGUGUUGCUUCUCAAUUUACAAUAAUGGCUGGCAGUGUUGAUUCUACUUUUGUCGAUAGCCACGCAAAGGGACAUAUUACAAAAUUCCACAAAUCUGCAGACCGUAGACGUGGUGUACAAACCACUCCACUCCAGCAUCUUCGACCAGCCAUUUGGUACAAACAUUUGUUAUAAAUAUAAGUGUAUACGGGCGCCUGUGGUGGGGGAGAACAGGGGAUGCUGAAAAUAAAUAUAAAUUUGGGCAAAAAAUGCGGGUGGAAUAAAUUUAAAAACGAGAAAUGUGUAACAUAAUGAUCGAAAAUGCAAAGAUUUCAGAUUAUAGCGGUAAGUUAAAAAAUUCCCUACCCAUCCCCCGCCUAUAGUUUUCCUCCUCCCGUUCGCCUUAUGAUUACAAAUGUCUUACACGGGAAUUGCAGAAACUGACCUAAGGAAUUAAUUUAAUUAAUUCAAUGUAUUAAUUUAGGACGUCAAAACAGUCUCAAGUGAUCUUUAUUAUGGUUUUGGUUCUUUAUGUGAGCACAAGCGCCAUGGAAUUGCGGAAAAGAGGUGGCUGUGAGAAUAUAUGCGCUGGAAAACACCGUCCUUGCCUUCGAGCCUGUGUUGGAAUUGAAGCAUGUGAGCCGUGUCGUCAGGCCAUGGCAGCAUGUGUUCAUGCAUGCCCCUCAAGAAAAAGAAAUCUGAAAGCAUCGACUCGAGCAUUUGAAGAUUCCUUAUUUUGAUCACUAAUUUUUCCCUUAUGACAAUUGUCAAUGAGAACUUAGUUUUGGAACAAAUGACAAUAAUUAUGAUAUUUC